AUUGAACGCUGGCGGCAUGCUUUACACAUGCAAGUCGAACGGUAACAGGCCGCAAGGUGCUGACGAGUGGCGAACGGGUGAGUAAUGCAUCGGAACGUGCCCAGUCGUGGGGGAUAACGCAGCGAAAGCUGAGCUAAUACCGCAUACGAUCUCUGGAUGAAAGCGGGGGACCGCAAGGCUUCGCGCGAUUGGAGCGGCCGCUGUAAGAUUAGGUAGUUGGUGGGGUAAAGGCUCACCAAGCCAACGAUCUGUAGCUGGGCUGAGAGGACGACCAGCCACACUGGGACUGAGACACGGCCCAGACUCCUACGGGAGGCAGCAGUGGGGAAUUUUGGACAAUGGGCGAAAGCCUGAUCCAGCAAUGCCGCGUGCAGGAAGAAGGCCUUCGGGUUGUAAACUGCUUUUGUACGGAACGAAACGGUCCUGGUUAAUACCUGGGGCUAAUGACGGUACCGUAAGAAUAAGCACCGGCUAACUACGUGCCAGCAGCCGCCGUAAUAC
rnacentral:rRNA from 1 species